UACGAGAGGCCCAAACGUUAUUCGGAUUUACUGGGCUUAAAGAGUUCGUAGGCGGCGCAGCAAGUAGGGUGUGAAAGCCCUCGGCUCAACCGAGGAAUUGCGCUCUAAACUACUGUGCUUGAGGAAGCUAGAGGUGAGCGGAACUGAUGGUGGAGCGGUGAAAUGCGUUGAUAUCAUCAGGAACACCGGAGGCGAAGGCGGCUCACUGGGGCUUUUCUGACGCUGAGGAACGAAAGCCAGGGGAGCGAACAGG
rnacentral:rRNA from 1 species